rnacentral:rRNA from 1 species
UACGGAGGGUGCGAGCGUUGUCCGGAAUCACUGGGCGUAAAGGGCGCGUAGGCGGUCUGGCAAGCGUGCGGUGAAAGCCCGGGGCUCAACCCCGGGUCGGCCGUGCGGACUACCGGGCUUGAGCACUGUAGAGGCAGGUGGAAUUCCGGGUGUAGCGGUGGAAUGCGUAGAGAUCCGGAAGAACACCGGUGGCGAAGGCGGCCUGCUGGGCAGUGGCUGACGCUGAGGCGCGACAGCGUGGGGAGCAAACAGG